UACGUAGGGUGCAAGCGUUAAUCGGAAUUACUGGGCGUAAAGCGUGCGCAGGCGGUUUUGUAAGUCUGACGUGAAAUCCCCGGGCUCAACCUGGGAAUUGCGUUGGAGACUGCAAGGCUGGAGUCUGGCAGAGGGGGGUGGAAUUCCACGUGUAGCAGUGAAAUGCGUAGAGAUGUGGAGGAACACCGAUGGCGAAGGCAGCCCCCUGGGUCAAGACUGACGCUCAUGCACGAAAGCGUGGGGAGCAAACAGG
rnacentral:rRNA from 1 species